rnacentral:tRNA from 1 species
GCUGGUGUGGCGAAAUCGGCAGACGCAAGGGACUUAAAAUCCCUCGGUAGAAAUACCGUACCGGUUCGAGUCCGAUCACCAGCACCA